GGUACGGUAAAUGUAUAUAAAGGUCACUGCGCUGAUCAAAAUACAGAAGCUGCCUUUAGAAGACUUUGUUGCUACAGGGAGGUUUCACCGUUGAAUUUAAGGAUGCAGGGGUUUACAGUGUUCAUGCUGCUAGUCGUGGCUGUCGUCGCCAAUGCCGACUUUAUCAUGUUUCCUAGAACAGACGAUUGCCCGGGGAAUUUAGUCAAAACCACAAGCAAUUGCGAUUUGGCAUGCGCGCGCACUUGCGAGAAACCCGGAGUUCCGGCCUGCUACCGGAUAUGCUGGCGUGGGUGUGUCUGUCCACCAGGUGCCCCAUUGCUCGUGGACAAGGCAAACUGGAUUUGCGGCUCCAGCGCAGACUGUCCUAAGAAGUGAUUUCUGCCUGCUGGCAUAAAGCAAGACGCGUAAUGAAUCCCGAAGUAAUGAAAAUAAAAGUCGUGAAAUCCAAAAGAUGUUUCUUUGUUUGU